AUCCAGCUGGCGAGUCCCAAACAGGACGAAACGCAUGUCCUGGAU
rnacentral:hammerhead_ribozyme from 1 species